rnacentral:sRNA from 1 species
UACCAACCCGCAGGCUGCAGGGUUGGCAUGCUCCGUGCAAGACCAGAGGCACUGAUGCUCCUGGGAGCUCUUCUGACUGGAUCCCUGGAUCCAUCGGGCAAUCAGGACGCACUCUCACUGCCCUGGGAAGUGCAGCGCUAUGACGGCUGGUUUAACAACCUGAGGCACCACGAGCGUGGUGCUGUUGGCUGCCGGUUGCAGCGCCGCGUACCAGCCAAUUAUGCCGACGGUGUGUAUCAGGCUCUGGAGGAGCCGCAGCUGCCCAACCCGCGCCGGCUCAGCAACGCAGCCACGCGGGGCAUAGCCGGCCUGCCGUCGCUCCACAACCGCACCGUACUGGGGGUCUUCUUUGGCUACCAUGUUCUUUCCGACGUGGUGAGCGUGGAAACGCCCGGCUGCCCCGCCGAGUUCCUCAACAUCCGCAUCCCACCUGGAGACCCCGUGUUCGACCCCGACCAGCGCGGGGACGUGGUGCUGCCCUUCCAGAGGAGCCGCUGGGACCCCGAGACCGGACGGAGUCCCAGCAACCCCCGGGACCUGGUGAGGCGGGGAAGGCGGCGGGAAGGGGCCGCACACCAGCCAGGUGGGGCCGGGGCUUCGGGCCUGGCAGGGCCUGGAGGGGAGAGGCGCCCACUCCCCAGCCUCGGACACCUGCCGGCCUCCGGCCUUCCCUGGCCCGCCGCCGCCCUUCGACCCCGGCUCACCCGCCGCGUGCCCCGCAGGCCAACCAGGUGACGGGCUGGCUGGACGGCAGCGCCAUCUAUGGCUCCUCGCACUCCUGGAGCGACGCGCUGCGGAGCUUCUCCGGGGGACAGCUGGCGUCGGGGCCCGACCCCGCCUUCCCCCGAGACUCGCAGAACCCUCUGCUCAUGUGGGCGGCGCCCGACCCCGCCACCGGGCAGAACGGGCCCCGGGGGCUGUACGGUGAGGCCGCGGGGGCGGGACGGGGCCGGCUGGGGGUCUGCGAGUGUGGGCUCCCCCAUCACGCUACCGCUCAUCUCCUCCCCUGCGCCCCCACAUCGGAUGCAGCCUUCGGGGCGGAGCGAGGGAACCGGGAACCCUUCCUGCAGGCGCUGGGCCUGCUCUGGUUCCGCUACCACAACCUGUGGGCGCAGAGGCUGGCCCGCCAGCACCCAGACUGGGGGGACGAGGAGCUGUUCCAGCACGCGCGCAAGAGGGUCAUCGCCACCUACCAGAACAUCGCUGUGUAUGAGUGGCUGCCCAGCUUCCUGCAGAAAACACCCCCGGAGUAUACAGGAUACCGUCCUUUCCUAGACCCUAGCAUCUCCCCGGAAUUUGUGGUGGCCUCUGAGCAGUUCUUCUCUACCAUGGUGCCCCCUGGUGUCUACAUGAGAAAUGCCAGCUGUCAUUUCCGGAAGGUCCUGAACAAGGGUUUUCAAAGCUCCCAAGCUCUCAGGGUCUGCAACAACUACUGGAUUCGGGAGGUCAGACUGGGGUCAGGGCCAGGGGAAGAUGGGUCAAGGUCAGUCUCUUCACACAGGCUGGGAAAAGCAACAAUCCUAGUUCUUGGGUUUUGCUGCCCCAGGUUCAUGGGAGAUGAAGGGUAGAGGAAAUUAUCCAGGGACAACAGCUCAAGAGAGUCUGGGACUGGCCAAGGGCCCUUUGUCCUGGGGUACUAAAGUGGUCCAGGCUGAGAGAGACUGAGUUUUGGGUAGGGGCCUAUCUUGAGUGCAUUGUUUACUUCCAGAACCCCAAUCUGAACAGUACCCAGGAGGUGAAUGAGCUGCUACUGGGAAUGGCCUCCCAGAUUUCGGAGCUGGAGGACAACAUAGUGGUUGAAGAUCUGAGGGGUGAGCUCAGAGCCAGAAGGGGUGGAUGGUAAGGGGCCAGGAAGCCUGAGGAUCCCUCUGGGUUCAUCAACAGCAGACCUAGGGCACUCACAAUACAGCAACACAGAUACAAACACAGACUUCAAGGAGCUAUAAGAAGAAAAUGAACUGUGAACUUUUUUUUUUUUUUUUUGCUUAAUUUACACUUUUGUGUUGCUUUUAUUUUAAAUUAACUAUGUCUGAGUAUUGGGGAGGGGUGGUACCACAAUCUCUUUGGUGCUUAGUUAGGUCUCUAAAAGUUUUCAUUCAGCCCUGUCUUGAAACUAGGGAGGCAUAGGACAGGGAAUUUACUGCUUGGUGACUAGAACAGUCUUGAGUCUUAGAGGAAGGGUCUUACUGGAAAAACUGGCCGUGAUCACACAUGGUGACAUUGGCCUUGCAGCAAGGCAAGGUCAACAUGGGCACAGAUCUCAUGUGGAUCACUGGGGGUAGCUGGGAGGGAAGAACCAUAGUGCCAAUAGUCAGAUACAAGGCUGCAGGGCAAAAAAGGAUGGAGAGGACAAAGCCCAUAGUCUAGUCUUCUCUCCUCUUCAGAUUACUGGCCUGGCCCUGGCAAAUUCUCCCGUACAGACUAUGUGGCCAGCAGCAUCCAACGUGGCCGAGAUAUGGGGCUGCCCAGCUAUAGCCAGGCCCUUCUGGCCUUUGGGCUGGACAUCCCAAGGAACUGGAGUGAUCUCAACCCUAAUGUGGACCCCCAGGUCAGGAAUAGUAAUGAUAAUAAUGGCAGCUAAAGCUUUCCUAUGGCAAUACUGUUCCAAACCCUUUACAUAUGUUGACUCAUUUAAUCUACGUAAUAAUAUUGUAAGGUAUAUAUAAUCAUUUUCUCCAUUUUACUGAUGACAUAGUUGGUAAAUCAUAGAGGCGGGACUUAAAUUCAGCCAUCUGAUUCCAGAAUAUAUUCCUAACCACUGCAUUGUACCAUUCCUGCAGGGUGGCUUCUGGGUUGGGUGCCAUUGUCCUGUUGCUGCAGGGUCCCACCCCAAGGGCUGUGUGCCCCUGAAGCUGCUAAUCAUUGAGGUCAGGCAGGCUGGUGAUGGUCACAGGAUACGGUCCUAGAGCACUUGACCGUGGUCUUACGGUGGGUAAGGACACACUGAUCCUUCCACUAGACUUGUCCUGCCUGACGGGGCUUCCCUAAGAAGAGGAAAUCAGGCCUGAGCAGCAAGCCAGGCAGCUGCUGGGGUCCUGUGUCCGAGGGAUGGGGCAACAGUGGCUGCCCUCCCCAGCAAACAUACACUCACCCCUUAUCUCCUGUGGUGCCCCAGGUGCUGGAGGCCACAGCUGCCCUGUACAACCAGGACCUAUCCCAGCUAGAGCUGCUCCUUGGGGGGCUCCUAGAGAGCCAUGGGGACCCUGGACCCCUGUUCAGUGCCAUUGUCCUCGACCAGUUUGUACGGCUGCGGGAUGGUGACCGCUACUGGUUUGAGAACACCAGGAAUGGGCUGUUCUCCAAGAAGGAGAUUGAAGAAAUCCGAAAUACCACCCUGCGGGACGUGCUGGUCGCUGUUAUCAAUGUUGACCCCAGUGCCCUGCAGCCCAAUGUCUUUGUCUGGCAUAAAGGUGCACCCUGCCCUCAGCCUAAGCAGCUCACAACCGACGGCCUGCCCCAGUGCGCACCCCUGACCGUGCUUGACUUCUUUGAGGGCAGCAGCCCUGGUUUUGCCAUCACCAUCAUUGCUCUCUGCUGCCUUCCCUUAGUGAGUCUGCUUCUCUCUGGAGUGGUGGCCUAUUUCCGGGGCCGAGAACGCAAGAAGCUACAAAAGAAAGUCAAAGAGAGCGUGAAGAAGGAAACAGCCAAAGAUGGAGUGCCAGCGAUGGAGUGGCCAGGCCCCAAGGAGAGGAGCAGUCCCAUCAUCAUCCAGCUGCUGUCAGACAGGUGUCUGCAGGUCCUGAACAGGCGUCUCACUGUGCUCCGCGUGGUCCAGCUGCAGCCUCUGCAGCAGGUCAACCUCAUCCUGUCCAGCAACCGAGGAUGCCGCACCCUGCUGCUCAAGGUCCCUAAGGAGUAUGACCUGGUGCUGCUGUUUAGUUCUGAAGAGGAACGGGGCGCCUUUGUGCAGCAGCUACAGGACUUCUGUGUGCGCUGGGCUCUGGGCCUCCAUGUGGCUGAGAUGAGCGAGAAGGAGCUAUUUAGGAAGGCUGUGACAAAGCAGCAGCGGGAACGCAUCCUGGAGAUCUUCUUCAGACACCUUUUUGCUCAGGUGCUGGACAUCAACCAGGCCGAUGCAGGGACCCUGCCCCUGGACUCCUGCCAGAAGGUGCGGGAGGCCCUGACCUGCGAGCUGAGCAGGGCCGAGUUUGCCGAGUCCCUGGGCCUCAAGCCCCAGGACAUGUUUGUGGAGUCCAUGUUCUCUCUGGCUGACAAGGAUGGCAAUGGCUACCUGUCCUUCCGAGAGUUCCUGGACAUCCUGGUGGUCUUCAUGAAAGGCUCCCCAGAGGAUAAGUCCCGUCUGAUGUUUACCAUGUAUGACCUGGAUGAGAAUGGCUUCCUCUCCAAGGACGAAUUCUUCACCAUGAUGCGGUCCUUCAUCGAGAUCUCCAACAACUGCCUGUCCAAGGCCCAGCUGGCCGAGGUGGUGGAGUCCAUGUUCCGGGAGUCGGGAUUCCAGGACAAGGAGGAACUGACAUGGGAGGAUUUUCACUUCAUGCUGCGGGACCAUGACAGCGAGCUCCGCUUCACGCAGCUCUGUGUCAAAGAUGGAGGUGGAGGUGGUGAGUGUGUGAGGAAUGGUUGGCGUCAGGGAGGGGGGCGUGUCCUCAAAAUGAGAGUUCCCGGUGGGCAGGACCCAGGUCUUACUCUUUUCUGAGUCCUUGGUAUCUAGUAUAGAACCAAGCACAUGUAAUUGGGGUGGCACAUGUAGGUGUGCAGGUUGUCUAAUGCACAAUGAUACCCACUGAGGUCAAGGAGCAGGUUGAAAUCUAUCCUACAUACUGCUCAAAGCCACCGGCAUUGGUCUAAGACAUAGCUGGCCAGAGGAAGAGGAAUUGUUUCUUUUACACAAAGGACCUGCACGGUUGCAUCCACCUAAGAGGAUGUCCCCUUUCUUGUGCAAAGUUGCCACAUUGUCUGCCCUGUGUACAGUGAGUGCUUAGUCUGGGGAAGGAGGGAAACCGGACUGGAGUCAGAGAUCUGGACAUGACUUUCCCAGAAGGGAGGAGGGCACAGUCUCCCAUCCUACCCCACUGCCCUUGUGGGGAAGCCAGUCCUGCCUCUUGUUCUCUUCUCUAGGUAUUAGAGAUAUCUUUAAACAAAACAUCAGCUGUCGAGUCUCAUUCAUCAGUCGGACACCUGGGGAGUGGUGAGCAGGAAUGGGGCUCUGGCAGGUCGGCCUGGCUGAGCCCCCUGCAGAGAAAUGAAAGGAGUAGGACUGGCUGAUCAGCCCCCGGUAAAAUCAGGCAUUUGCCCUUUGAAAGUAGCUCUUGGUUGCACAAACAUUCCAGCUGCCUCUCUCACCCUAUGCUGCUCGGAUGCUCGGCUCUCUCCCUGCCGCUCCAGGCCAGAAUCAUUCUACAAAACAAAUUAUGAGAUCCUAUUCAUUUUGCGCCUUACCCCCUGCCUGGUACCAGGAGCCACUCCCUACCUCUACCCCAUGCUCUGCCCUGGGAGUUGUUCUCCUGGCUGCAAAGACAAGGGGAGAACAGCCCCAUUUCUUUUUCUCAGCUCCCACCCCCAGGGACUGGGGCCCCCUGCCCCAGAAGCCCCAGAGCUGGGAGGCCCUGGACUGAAGAAGAGGUUUGGCAAAAAGGCAGCGGUGCUCACUCCCCGGCUGUACACAGAGGCGCUGCAAGAGAAGAUGCAGCGAGGCUUCCUAGCCCAAAAGCUGCAGCAGUACAAGCGCUUCGUGGAGAACUACCGGAGGCACAUCGUGUGUGUUGCAAUCUUCUCGGCCAUCUGUGUUGGCGUGUUUGCAGAUCGUGCUUACUGUAAGAGUUCCAGACUGUGGGCAGUGGGUAGGGAGCAGGCUCUGACCCUUGGAGAGGAGUGGAAAGCCCUCUGAUCCUAAGAGUCUGCAUGGGAGAGCCCAGGGCUCGGGACCCUGGCCUCUUGUGCCAAACUGAUGUAACCUCAUUCCGGCCCCCCAGACUAUGGCUUUGCCUCGCCACCCUCGGACAUUGCACAGACCACCCUCGUGGGCAUCAUCCUGUCACGAGGCACGGCGGCCAGCGUCUCCUUCAUGUUCUCCUAUAUCCUGCUCACCAUGUGCCGCAACCUCAUAACCUUCCUGCGAGAGACUUUCCUCAACCGCUAUGUGCCUUUUGAUGCCGCGGUGGACUUCCACCGCUGGAUCGCCAUGGCUGCUGUUGUCCUGGCCAUUUUGCACAGUGCUGGCCAUGCAGUCAAUGUCUACAUCUUCUCAGUCAGCCCACUCAGCCUGCUGGCCUGCGUAUUCCCCAACGUCUUUGUGAAUGAUGGGUCAGUUCUGGGGAAGGUUUUCUCCCGGGACUCAUAGGGCGGGCCCAGGGGUAUAAUAGAAAAAGAAAUAGGCAGGGCACAAUGGCUCACACCUGUAAGCCCAACACUUUGGAAGUCUGAGGCAGGAGGAUCGCUUGAAGCCAGGAGUUCCAGACAAGCCUGAACAACAGAGUGAGACUCCAUCUGUACAAAAAGUAAAAAGAUUAGCGGGGCAUUGUGGUGCACAUCUGUAGUCCUGGCUAUUCAGGAGGCUGAGGCAGGAGGAUUGCUUGAGCCCAGGAGUUUGAGGUUGCAGUGAGCCAUGAUCAGUACCACUGCAUUCCAGCCUGGGCGACAGAGCAAGACUCUGUCUU